UCCGGUUUGACACCGGCAGUCUCCCCAGAGUUCCCAGCGUUACCUGAUGGCAACUAAUGAUAAGGGUUGCGCUCGUUGCAGGACUUAACCUAACAUCUCACGACACGAGCUGACGACAACCAUGCACCACCUGUCUCCCUGCCCCGAAGGGCUUCAUGCAUCUCUGCACUAUUCAGGGGAUGUCAAGUCCAGGUAAGGUUCUUCGCGUUGCUUCGAAUUAAACCACAUGCUCCGCUGCUUGUGCGGGCCCCCGUCAAUUCCUUUGAGUUUUAAUCUUGCGAUCGUACUUCCCAGGCGGAGUACUUAUUGUGUUAACUGCGGCACAGAAGGUUGGACCCCCCUACACCUAGUACUCAUCGUUUACGGCGUGGACUAC
rnacentral:misc_RNA from 1 species